GUGGGGAAUAUUGGACAAUGGGCGGAAGCCUGAUCCAGCAACGCCGCGUGAGGGAUGACGGCCUUCGGGUUGUAAACCUCUUUCAGUACCGACGAAGCGAGAGUGACGGUAGGUACAGAAGAAGCACCGGCCAACUACGUGCCAGCAGCCGCGGUAAUACGUAGGGUGCGAGCGUUGUCCGGAAUUAUUGGGCGUAAAGGGCUCGUAGGCGGUUUGUCGCGUCGGGAGUGAAAACACCGGGCUUAACUCGGUGCUUGCUUUCGAUACGGGCAGACUAGAGGUAUGCAGGGGAGAACGGAAUUCCUGGUGUAGCGGUGAAAUGCGCAGAUAUCAGGAGGAACACCGGUGGCGAAGGCGGUUCUCUGGGCAUUACCUGACGCUGAGGAGCGAAAGUGUGGGGAGCGAACAGGAUUAGAAACCCCUGUAGUCC
rnacentral:rRNA from 1 species